AUAUUCCUAAGUGCAUGUUGUAAAGAUACGUCCAUAUAUCACCUGGCAACAAAGAACAUUAAGUUCUUUUUCGAUCUUUUUGUUGUUCGUCUACUCAAUGCUAAAUGUCUCUGUAAAUUGCGGAUUUUUUUCCGAAUAAUCUCAGUGACUAUUUUACAUUACCGUUUUGGAAACAAAGCUGUAAAACAAGAUUCUUAAAUUAGAUACAAUUUCUUUUUUGUACAUGAAUUUUUAUAAGAAACUGUGAAAUUCACAAGUAAAUAUGCUAUCCAAGCAUGUGUGAUGAAAGCUGUAUCUCCAUGCAUAUGUGCAGGCACGCACACUUGAGAUCAUUCCACAGGCUGACAUAUGCUUAUGCCUUUUUUCUGCCUUGCUUAAUUAACACAUCUUCUGCUCAUGUGUAUCCAUAAGAAUAUUGUACAAAAGCAUCCUCUGAUCUCUCACUCACAUUCAUUGUUGAUUAGAAAGUGAUACCCGCUUUAUAAUUUCCUUUAUUAACUCAGAAUUGACACAAAUUAGAUUUGUGACAAAUUGUACAUUAGCAAGAAACAGAGGUUUAAAUAUAAUGAAAAAAAAAAAACAAAUUGCAUUCUUUUUUAUUCUUUCUGGGGAGAUUGAAGCCUCUCUUCUACCCCCAAAUCAAACUCACUGCAUCUGUAAAAUGCAGGCCUAUGAAGGUACCUGCUGUCUGAGAGUUCCAUGGGUCAGUGGUGAGUUUAAAGAUUAUUUCUUUUUCUUACUGUCUUUGGAAAAGGAUAAGGAUGCUGCUGGCUUAGCUUCAAGAGGCUCUUCUGUCUCACAAAUGGAGCUUCCUGAUCCAACUGAAGACCGCAGUCAGGGGUCUUGGAGGGCCACACUGCAGAGGCUCUGGGUCAGAUGGUACAAGUUCAGACUGUGGAGCCAAAUACCGAAGUCCAGUUCAUUAUCUGUCUUUAGGGACAUGGAUGAAUCUGGAGAACAUCAUCCUCAGCAAACUGACACAAGAACAGAAAAUGAAACACCGCAUAUUCUCACUCAUAGGCGGGUGAUGAAAAAUGAGAACACAUGGACACAGAAAGGGGAGUACUAAACACUGGGGUCUAUUGGGGGGAAAAGGGGAGGGCCAGUGGGAGGGGGAGGUGGGGAGGGAUAGCCUGGGGAGAAAAGCCAAAUGUGGGUGAAGGGGAGAAGAAAAGAAAGCACACUGCCAUGUGUGUACCUACGCAACUGUCUUGCAUGCUCUGCUCAUGUACCCCAAAACCUAUAAUCCAAUAAAAAAUUAAAAAAAAGAAAAAAAAGAAAAGCA
rnacentral:lncRNA from 13 species